rnacentral:rRNA from 1 species
GACGAACGCUGGCGGCGUGCCUAAUACAUGCAAGUCGAGCGAUGAUUAAAGAUAGCUUGCUAUUUUUAUGAAGAGCGGCGAACGGGUGAGUAACGCGUGGGAAAUCUGCCGAGUAGCGGGGGACAACGUUUGGAAACGAACGCUAAUACCGCAUAACAAUGAGAAUCGCAUGAUUCUUAUUUGAAAGAAGCAAUUGCUUCACUACUUGAUGAUCCCGCGUUGAAUUAGCUAGUUGGUGGUGUAAAGGACUACCAAGGCGAUGAUACAUAGCCGACCUGAGAGGGUGAUCGGCCACACUGGGACUGAGACACGGCCCAGACUCCUACGGGAGGCAGCAGUAGGGAAUCUUCGGCAAUGGGGGCAACCCUGACCGAGCAACGCCGCGUGAGUGAAGAAGGUUUUCGGAUCGUAAAACUCUGUUGUUAGAGAAGAACGUUAAGUAGAGUGGAAAAUUACUUAAGUGACGGUAUCUAACCAGAAAGGGACGGCUAACUACGUGCCAGCAGCCGCCGUAACAC